UAAUGCAUUCAAAUUUUAUAAAUCAUACCUAAUCCAUACUAAAUUCAUGGUUCUUACAUAAUCAAUACAAUAUAAGUAAAAGAAAAGCAUAAAAACAUCCAAAUUUCAUAUGCAUUCCUCAUAACCGAUAAUAAUCUUAACAGUAAUAAUAUAUCUUAGGCUUAUUCUUAACCUUCAAAACCGUGGCUUCCCAUAGUAGGAAAUGGUCAAGUUGUCUUGCUCUUUCUCAAGUCCAAUCAUCUCUCUACUUCUUCAUUCUCGCGUUCCUUUCUCUUGAGCCUUGGUUUUGUGAACUUUGAGAGACAAGUGAGAUUAUGAGAAAUUAUGAGUGAGAGUUGGAAAAAUUAGUGAUAGGGGAAAGAAAUGCCUUUGCUUUGAGGGACUUUGAUGACUAAAUGAGAUAAAAGAGAGAAAGACGUAUUUGUUUAGACGAAAAGCUAAUCGAGGUAAUGACACCUCUCUCUUUUCAUAUAUUUUUCCAUAAAAAUGAAGUGAUGUUUUUGUUUAUAAUUGUUUCGUAUCUGCUUACGUGUUUAAGAAUACGUAGCUGCCAAAAUGAGUAA
rnacentral:lncRNA from 1 species